rnacentral:tRNA from 3 species
UGGCCCAUCGUCUAAUGGCAGGACACCCGGUUUUGGUCCGGUCGGUCGGAGUUCGAAUCUCUGUGGGCCAGCCA